rnacentral:rRNA from 1 species
GACGAACGCUGGCGGCGUGCUUAACACAUGCAAGUCGAACGGAAAGGCGCUGCUUUUGUGGGGUGCUCGAUUGGCGAACGGGUGAGUAACACGUGAGUAACCUGCCCUUGACUUUGUGAUAACUUCAGGAAACUGGGGCUAAUACCGGAUAGGAGCUCCUGCUGCAUGGUGGGGGUUGGAAAGUUUCGGCGGUUGGGGAUGGACUCGCAGCUUAUCAGCUUGUUGGUGGGGUAGUGGCUUACCAAGGCUUUGACGGGUAGCCGGCCUGGGAGGGUGACCGGCCACAUUGGGCCUGAGAUACGGCCCAGACUCCUACGGGAGGCAGCAGUGGGGAAUAUUGCACAAUGGGCGGAAGCCUGAUGCAGCAACGCCGCGUGCGGGAUGACGGCCUUCGGGUUGUAAACCGCUUUCGCCUGUGACGAAGCGUGAGUGACGGUAAUGGGUAAAGAAGCACCGGCUAACUACGUG